GUUGAAACACCGGUUCUCGUACGAUAACUGAAAUUAAGCAACGUCGAGCUGGGUUAGUACCGAGAUGGGUGACUAUUUGCGAAUACCAGGUGCUGUAAG